CACCGCGGUUAUACGAGAGACCCAAGUUGACAGACAAUCGGCGUAAAGAGUGGUUAAGUAAUAUAUUUCACUAAAGCCAAACACCUUCAAAGCUGUUAUACGCACCCGAAGAUCAGAAGCCCAAUCACGAAAGUGGCUUUAAACUAACUGAACCCACGAAAGCUAGGGUA
rnacentral:rRNA from 1 species